rnacentral:tRNA from 2 species
GGGCGAAUAGCUCAGUUGGUAGAGCACCGGUUUUACACGCCGGGAGUCACAGGUUCGAGUCCUGUUUCGCCCA